AGAGCUAUAUUGGCAAGCAGUAACAUGAAUUGGUCGUUGUUAUAAUGUUAUCAUUGCAGUUAGAUAAUAUUUCCGAUAUAAAAUAUUUCCGUGUGAUAAUAUUUCCGUUAGAAAAUAUUUUCGUUAGAUAACCCAACCGUUAUUAACACAGCAGUAUAAAUUAGAACAUAAAUAAUUAAAAUUGCCAUUCAACUGCAUCAAGUAGUGGUUAUCUAUUAGUCAUUUUAAAUUCUCACUUAACGAAAAACUAAAAGACCUGGAAUAUCUCAUAAUGUAUGUUGCUUCUCUGCUGCUUUGUUUUGGCUGUUGGAUUCAUUUAACACUUCAUGCACUGCACCUAAUUGACGACCAUCUAGAACCAAUCAUUUCUUCCGAGUCUCGGACAACUGAUACGUGUCUUAAUCCCAAGGCUUAUGUUGAAGGCGACCUGCUAAUGAGAGAAUUAUGUACACAGAACACAAAGUUUCAAGAAUUUAUCGUGGAACAGCUGGAAACUCGAACGUUUAUCGAGGUAAUAUCUGAAACUUAAUAUAACGUCUUUUAUGACACAAGCGGCAGUGUAGCUCAUAAUAUUGCCCAUAGAUUUGGAAACAGAAAUAAAAAUAAACACAUUCCCGAUAAAGCACCAGAACUAAACAAGUUUAGCUUUUAUCAAUUCCGACCAAGCAACAAAUUAGAUAAUCUAGAAAUCUACAAACACUUGGAAGCCACUGCUUAAAGUAGUCCAUGGAGGCGACUAUUUAUUUUAUGUCUUGGAAGUCGUCUCAGGAAAAUGGCAUUACAAAACCAAUGUAACAACAAGUUUUGCUCUAAUUAACGACGAUAUACACGCACGUUUCCUAAAUGUAAAAAUUUGGGCUGCAAAUGAAAUUGGUAUCACACAAAACUAUUCCGAAAUAUUCAUUAGGACAAGAGGUAACGCUUUUUACAACUAUUAGUUAAGAAUUAAAUGCUUGGCAAAUCAAAUUUAAACUGUUGACUGGUACACAUUUCGUAAUCGUGCUUGUGAACUGUAAAUUUAUAGAGCCACACAAAUCAAGGGCCUAUGCCGAGUUUUCUGAAACGGAAGAUGUAAACAUGUAUGUCCAGCCGAACUCCGUUGUUGGUGUGGAAAAAAUAGCAUUUCAAAUAUGCAUUUAUAUGCGACUUAGAAAAAAGAAAUAUACCUUUACCAUGGUAAAUAGUUGUUUGAUUCUGUACAUGUCUAGAGUUUAAUAUUUGUCUCCACUUUAAAAAUCAUUACAAAAGUUAUUUGUAUGUCGGCUAGGUGAGAGAACACAUGAUCUCAGGACAAAUGAUCUCAGACAAAAUAUCUCAUGGACAAAUGAUCUCAGGACAAAUGAUCUCAGGACAAAAGAUCUCAUGAGAAAAUACAUAAUGGACAAAUAAUACCAUGGUUAAAUGAUUUCAGAUAACAUAUCUCAAAGCUAAAUAUUAUUGUAUUUAGGAGGAUUUAGUCAAAUUAUCAUUUAUUUUUAA